UGCUCUACAGUGGCACCUAACUAUUUAUUUUGGGAGUUUAUUAUCUGUGAUUUUUCUUGUGAAAGAAUUUGAUCUCUGCUGUAUUACGGAGUAGAAGAACUACAUUUUUGGUCAAGAGUGUGCAACCACAGCCCACACAUUCACACAGCAAACACAGAUGCUAUCAACUUUCUGAUGUACUCAACUAUAUGAGUGAUCGUCCUAGAAAACCAUCGCCGACAAACAGCCAUUAAUAUAACUUUAAAGACCCCAUGACAUUGUUUCCUCUGUUGACGUAAUUCAUCUGCAUGCAAGAUCAAGCUUUUUGGUCCGUUUAGCAGAAAGUGAGUCUAUAGUAUUUGUCUCAAAGCUAAUAGCCACAAAAAUCCAGUUUUAAUUUCAUAAGAAUGUGCACUGUAAUGAAUUGGCAGGAAGAUGCAAGUCUAUGGGGAAAAAAAAAAAGAACAAAAUUAAAAUGUCCUUUACUAGCCAU